rnacentral:rRNA from 1 species
AUUGAACGCUGGCGGCAAGCCUAACACAUGCAAGUCGAACGAGUGGCGGACGGGUGAGUAAUGUCUGGGAAACUGCCUGAUGGAGGGGGAUAACUACCGGAAACGGUAGCUAAUACCGCAUACCAUCGGAUGUGCCCAGAUGGGAUUAGUUAGUAGGUGGGGUAAAGGCUCACCUAGGCGACGAUCACUAUCUGGUCUGCGAGGAUGACCAGCCACACUGGAACUGGGACACGGUCCAGACGCCUAAGGGAGGCAGCAGUGGGGAAGAUUUCACAAUGGGCGGAAUCCUGAUGCAGCCAUGCCGCGUGUAUGAAGAAGGGCUUCGGGUUGUAAAGUACGUUCAGCGGGGAGGCGUUACCCGAAGAAGAAGCACCGGCUAACUCCGUGCCAGCAGCCGCGGUAAUAC